UAGGAGACUUCAGGCUAAGGUAAACAAAGGCAAGGAAACAUGGUACGAACACCUUGUUGUGAUACGAGCGGACUAAGGAAAGGAACCUGGACGCCCGAGGAAGAUAGGAAACUGAUUGCCUAUGUCACCAGAUAUGGCUGCUGGAAUUGGCGACAACUCCCCAAGUAUGCAGGUCUGCAAAGAUGUGGGAAGAGUUGCCGGCUGCGAUGGCUGAAUUAUUUAAGGCCCAACAUCAAAGAGGGAAUUACAGCGCGAAGAAGAAGAGACAAUCCUCAGAUUACAUGAGAAACUAGGGAACAGUUGGUCCGCCAUUGCUGCACAGUUACCAGUCGAACAGACAACGAGGUGAAGAACCACUGGCAUACGAAUCUCAAGAAACGCUUCAAGGACAAGCCGAUGGAAGCUAAAGAUGACAGUAAAAAAGAAUCAGUUGAAGUGCAUAA